rnacentral:rRNA from 1 species
CCUACGGGUGGCAGCAGUAGGGAAUAUUGCACAAUGGGGGAAACCCUGAAGCAGCAACGCCGCGUGGAGGAUGAAGGUUUUCGGAUCGUAAACUCCUUUUGUUAGAGAAGAUAAUGACGGUAUCUAACGAAUAAGCACCGGCUAACUCCGUGCCAGCAGCCGCGGUAAUACGGAGGGUGCAAGCGUUACUCGGAAUUACUGGGCGUAAAGGGCGCGGAGGCGGGAUGGCAAGUCAGAUGUGAAAGCCUAUGGUUUAACCAUAGAACUGCAUUUGAAACUGGUAGUCUAGAGUAUGGGAGAGGUAGGUGGAAUUCUUGGUGUAGGGGUAAAAUCCGUAGAGAUCAAGAGGAAUACUCAUUGCGAAGGCGACCUGCUAGAACAUAACUGACGCUGAUGCGCGAAAGCGUGGGGAGCAAACAGGAUUAGAUACCCCAGUAGUC